rnacentral:rRNA from 1 species
AUGUGGCAUAAAGCACCAUGUUCAAGUAGGGAUUAUAGCGGGGUGCGGGAGAGUGGACCACGUAAAAGAGACGAGGAUGGUGAUGAUGGUGGUGAUGUUGAUGAAGACGAUCACCACGGCGAUGAUUCCCCUCUCGAUGGCACUCCUGUGUCACCAAGAGAGAGGAGGAGAGGUUCUCCCCCUUGUGCUUCCUCCUCCAUGGCCUCCCCCCUAGAUGGGGAAAGGUUCUCCCUCUGGUCCUUGGCCUUCACGGCGAUGAUGGCCUCUCCGGGAUACUCCUCCAUGGCCACCGGUGAUGAUGGCCCCCUCCGGCAGGGUGCCGGAGAGGGCCUAGAUCGAUUUCUCGUGGCUACAGAGGCUUGCGGCGGCGUAACUUCUGAUCUAUUCUGUUCCCCGAUGGUUUUAGGGUUUAUGACUAUAUAUAGGCGAAAGAAGUCGGUCAGGGGAGCCAUGAGGGGCCCAUGA